AAUCAACGCUGGCGGCAUGCCUAACACAUGCAAGUCGAACGGGAAAGUGGGAGCAAUCCCAUGAGUAUAGUGGCGCACGGGUGAGUAACACGUGACUAACCUACCCUCGAGUGGGGAAUAACCCCGGGAACCGGGGCUAACACCGCAUAAUACCGCAAGGUCAAAUGCGCAAGCAGCUUGAGGAGGGGGUCGCGGUUGAUUAGCUAGUUGGUAGGGUAAUGGCCUACCAAGGCAGNGAUCAAUAGCCGGCCUGAGAGGGCGCACGGCCACACUGGAACUGAAACACGGUCCAGACUCCUACGGGAGGCAGCAGUGGGGAAUUUUGCGCAAUGGGGGAAACCCUGACGCAGCAAUGCCGCGUGGAGGAUGAAGUCCUUU
rnacentral:rRNA from 1 species